rnacentral:rRNA from 1 species
CCUACGGGAGGCUGCAGUGGGGAAUAUUGCACAAUGGGGGCAACCCUGAUGCAGCGACGCCGCGUGAGUGAAGAAGUAUUUCGGUAUGUAAAGCUCUAUCAGCAGGGAAGAGAAUGACGGUACCUGAGUAUGAAGCCCUGGCUAAUUACGUGCCAGCAGCCGCGGUAAUACGUAGGGGGCAAGCGUUAUCCGGAUUUACUGGGUGUAAAGGGAGCGUAGACGGCGAAGAAAGUCUGAAGUGAAAGCCCGGGGCUCAACCGCGGAACUGCAUUGGAAACUUUAUUGCUGGAGUACCGGAGAGGUAAGCGGAAUUCCUAGUGUAGCGGUGAAAUGCGUAGAUAUUAGGAGGAACACCAGUGGCGAAGGCGGCUUACUGGACGGUAACUGACGUUGAGGCUCGAAAGCGUGGGGAGCAAACAGGAUUAGAUACCCGAGUAGUC